UACGGGGGGAGCAAGCGUUGUUCGGAUUUACUGGGCGUAAAGGGCGCGUAGGCGGCCUCCGCAAGUCGACUGUGAAAUCUCCGGGCUUAACCCGGAAAGGUCAGCCGAAACUGCGGGGCUAGAGUGCAGAAGGGGCAACUGGAAUUCUCGGUGUAGCGGUGAAAUGCGUAGAUAUCGAGAGGAACACCUGCGGCGAAGGCGGGUUGCUGGGCUGACACUGACGCUGAAGCGCGAAAGCUAGGGGAGCGAGCGGG
rnacentral:rRNA from 1 species